ACAAAGAAUUCUUUGCGCAGGUCUCUCGGUCAUUCACUCCUCUAGUGAUUUGACGGUAGUGAAACAGAGCUCUGACAGAAUACUGGCUGCAUUUUCAGGGUACAUUUGUGUUCUCUCUGGUCAAAUUCACUCCUCUGAAGUUUAACAAUAUAACUGAAUACCCCUGGUGGGGCUAUGCUCUUGCCUGGUACUUCACACUCUCUUCAACUAUUGGUUCCUCUUUGGAUGAUCUAUGCUCUCCUCACUUCCACUGGCUCACUGAGACAGAGAUUACAUGCUCUCUGCACCCCAGAAAUAAACCUUCCUCAGAACUCAAGCAGAAGAAAAAAUGGUUCAACUUUUAUUGGCUUUACAGCAGUACCACGAGGGCAAGAACAUCCUUGAAGUAAAAGCAUGGUGUUUGAUUUGGGGUACUUGUCUACUAUAGGGGUACUUGUUUAUUUGUCUCAUUGUACAUCAGCUCCUGAACAUAACUUUUACACACUGUCAUGUGUUAAACAGUUUCAUGCAAAAGUUCUGUUCUACAAUAUUAGAGUAUUUCAGGUUUCUCUGUAUACAUCAUGACCAGAUAACCUAUCGCACCGAAUUAAUUAUGUUUUUGCUAAAUGAAUAUAUAUUACUUUGAUAUGGC